rnacentral:rRNA from 1 species
UACGAAGGGUGCAAGCGUUACUCGGAAUUACUGGGCGUAAAGCGUGCGUAGGCGGUUUGGUAAGUCUGAUGUGAAAGCCCUGGGCUCAACCUGGGAAUUGCAUUGGAAACUGGCUUGCUAGAGUGCGGUAGAGGGGUGUGGAAUUCCCGGUGUAGCGGUGAAAUGCGUAGAGAUGCGGAGGAACACCAGUGGCGAAGGCGGCCGCCUGGGCUAGCACUGACGCUGAGGCACGAAAGCGUGGGGAGCAAACAGG